CCUACGGGAGGCAGCAGUGGGGAAUAUUGCACAAUGGGGGAAACCCUGAUGCAGCGACGCCGCGUGAGUGAAGAAGUAUUUCGGUAUGUAAAGCUCUAUCAGAAGGGAAGAAAAAAGACGGUACCUGACUAAGAAGCCCCGGCUAACUACGUGACAGUAGCCGCGGUAAUACGUAGGGGCCAAGCGUUAUCCGGAUUUACUGGGUGUAAAGGGAGCGUAGACGGCGCGGCAAGUCUGAAGUGAAAGGCAGGGGCUUAACCCCUGAACUGCAUUUGAAACUGGCAUGCUAGAGUGCUGGAGAGGUAAGUGGAAUUCCUAGUGUAGCGGUGAAAUGCGUAGAUAUUAGGAAGAACACCGAUUGCGAAGGCAGCUUACUGGACAGUAACUGACGUUGAGGCUCGAAAGCGUGGGGAGCAAACAGGAUUAGAUACCCCAGUAGUC
rnacentral:rRNA from 1 species